rnacentral:rRNA from 1 species
AGUUCAGAAUUAUGGCUCCAGAUUGAACGCUAGCGGGAUGCCUUACACAUGCAAGUCGAACGGCAGCACGGACUUCGGUCUGGUGGCGAGUGGCGAACAGGUGAGUAAUGUAUCAGGUACGUGCCCAGUAGCGGGGGAUAACUACGCGAAAGCGCUAAUACCGCAUACGCCCUACGGGAAAAGCGGGGAUCACCGGGCCACUAUUGGAGCAACCGAUAUCGGAUUAGCUAGUUGGUGGGGUAACGGCUCACCAAGGCGACGAUCCGUAGCGGUUUUGAGGACGACCAGCCACUGGGACUGAGACACGGCCCAGACUCUGCAGAGGCAACAGUGGGAAUUUUGGACAAUGGGGAAACCUGAUCCAGCCAUCCCGCGUGUGCGAUGAAGGCCUUCCGGGUUGUAAAGCACUUUUGGCAGGAAAGAAACGUCGUAGGUUAAUACCCGCGAAACUGACAGUACCUGCAGAAUAAGCACCGGCUAACUACGUGCCAGCAUGCCCGUCGCUCGUAGGGUGCAAGCGUUAAUCGGAAUUACUGGGCGUAAAGCGUGCGCAGGCGGUUCGGAAAGAAAGAUGUGAAAUCCCAGGCUUAGCUUUGGAACUGCAUUUUUAACGCUACCGGGCUAGAGUGUGUCAGAGGGAGGUGGAAUUCCGCGUGUAGCAGUGAAAUGCGUAGAUAUGCGGAGGAACACCGUGGCGAAGGCAACCUCCUGGGAUAACACUGACGCUCAUGCACAGAAAGCGUGGGGGAGCAAACGAGUUAGAUACCCUGGUAGUCCACGCCCUAAACGAUGUCAACUAGCUGUUGGGGCCUUCGGGCCUUGGUAGCGCAAUAACGUGCAAAGUUGACCGCCUGGGGGAGUACGGUCGCAGUUAAAACUCAAAGGAAUUGACGGGGACCGCACAGCGGUGGAUGAUGUGGAUUAAUUCGAUGCAACGCGAAAAACCUUACCUACCCUUGACAUGUCUGGAAUGCCGAAGAGAUUUGGCAGUGCUCGCAAGAGAACCGGAACACAGGUGCUGCAUGGCUGUCGUCAGCUCGUGUCGUGAGAUGUUGGGUUAAGUCCCGCAACGAGCGCAACCCUUGUCAUUAGUUGCUACGAAAGGGCACUCUAAUGAGACUGCCGGUGACAAACCGGAGGAAGGUGGGGAUGACGUCAAGUCCUCAUGGCCCUUAUGGGUAGGGCUUCACGUCAUACAAUGGUCGGGACAGAGGGUCGCCAACCCGCGAGGGGAGCCAAUCAGAAACCCGAUCGUAGUCCGGAUCGCAGUCUGCAACUCGACUGCGUGAAGUCAAAUCGCUAGUAAUCGCGGAUCAACCAUAGCCGCGGUGAAUACGUUCCGAAGUCUUGUACACCGCCCGUCACACCAUGGGAGUGGGUUUUACCAAGUAGUUAGCCUAACCGCAAAGGCGAUUACCACGGUAGGAUUCAUGACUGGGGUGAAGUCGUAACAAGGUAGCCCUGUUGUUGAUGUUAG